CAGAUUAAAGGGAAGGCUUUUGUGAGAUUCUUCGAAAAAAAUAUAUAUCAUUUGUCAUUCCGCGCGGAGAUUAAACAAGGGAAACCUGGCAUCGUUCUCAAAAAUCCAGAUAGCAAGACAAAUCGUUUGGGAAGUUCAUUCAUUAUAGUCUGCUGUUAACGAGAAAGGCUACACAUAUUUUUGCAUCAGGAACACCACAUCGGAGGUGAGCCUUUUUCAGGAUUACUGACCGUUAAUCGGUGGCUGCUACGCCUGGAAAGCAUGAGGAGCUCAGACAAACAUGACCGACACUGACUGCCAUGUUCUGCAAGCAGAGGAUACGCUGAAAAGUAUUAUCUCACUGUUAGUAUUCUGAAACAGCCAAAUAACAUGAGAAGUGGAGUUCUGGUCAAGAUGCUAAGAUACAGAAGAAAAUACUCCUUCUAUUGAUCUGUGUAAUCCCAUCAACAGUUCAUAGGCGUGAGGUUCUAGCAAAUCUUUGUGUUGUCCCUGAGUACCAGAUUUUGCAUUUGGAGACCUGAAUGAGACGAAUGGUGUUUAAAGCCAGUCACUGCAGAGGUCUCUGAGGGCUGCACCACGCUGAGUUGCAGGAGCAUCUGUUAUUUUAGUGAAGGCUGGUUCAAUUCUUGUCCACUCCAUUUAUUUAGGAUCUGUCAGUUUCUCACAUGCCGAUAAGGUGGAGUUAGAUUUUUGUGAAAACUGCCCUUCUUGGUCCAUGUGCCCACUCUUGCAAAAGAUCUGCCCCCACAAACACAGCAAGGCCCACAGCACAGAUAAGCUGCUUGCUUAGCUUCCCACCUACAGGAACCAAAUCAUGCAAGGACCUCAGGUGCUUCUCCCCACCUGUUGUUGAAUGAUGCUGUAGCUGCUUUUUUCUUGUGGAGGGUUGUAAAGCUUUAAAUAUUAGAGGGUAUAAAGUCCCAAGGACUGGAGCUGCCAUCGAGUUUCAUAAUACUGGGUGUAAUUCAGGGAUACAGACCUGCAGUUUUGCAUUGAGCGGAAUUGCAAGGGAGCCCAUGAGCCAGGGGAGCUGGCUUUGCGAAGAGAGUUCAAGUCGGGGGUGGUCUCAGCAGACCAGCUGAGCGAGGAGUGUGUUUCAUCUGUGAUACCCAGGCCUUGUUGGCUGUGUUACGGUAUCAUCUGUCUCUAGCAUUGUAAUUUAGUGUUUGGCGGUGAAACAUACUGAAUUAGCACACCUUAGGUCACCAGCAGUCCCACCAAACUCUUCAUGAGAACUAAAAUUUCCCAACAGCAUAAGCAACUCCUUGCCUGGCACUGCUGUGACUGUAACCUCCUGGUGGGAAAAGGCUUGAAUAAAUCUCAUCCCCAAGGAGCUCUCCUUCCAAAUAGGCAAUUGCUGUCCAGCUUGUCAAAAGUAAGGAUUUAAUCCAAUACGUCUCGUACAGACUCAUCCUCUCUCCAGAUACGGACUAUAAUUUCCUCACUGCUCUCCUCACAUACACCGAUAAGGCACUUCAGUUAAACAUAUUCACCAGAAAUACAAAGCAUGUGAGAAGGUAGCACUUGAAACCCAUCCAGUAUCCGAAGAACAGACAAUUUUUCGUAUUGUAAGGGCUCCAGACCUCUUCUCCCUGUCCACCCAACUGUUCUCAGUGUCUCUGAGUGAAGCUCCAGGUGUGAGCUGGGAUAUUUUAGCACUGGAGGCCAUUUCCUUCCCCAUGACAUAUUCCCAAUACAAAGGCAGGGCUGUUGGUGCAGGCUAGUUCUGAUGGCCAAGCGCUGUCUGCUGUUGCUCUGGAGAAGCCCUUCCAUCACAUGGUCCAAAAGAAUCUGGAUUACUGCCAGAGCAUGCAAGGACCUUUAAAGCAUGUUGUUUAGGUCCUGAAUUGCUAGACAUGACUGCAGAUUUGGUUUGCUUGGUGAGUUGUACCAAAGAAAGCUUUGGACAGAGUGAAAAAGAUGCGUCUGUUUUUAGUUACCAAAUAAAAAGAUGAAAUUUAGAGAGA